GGGGGGGGGGGGGGGGGGGCCUGGGGCGGGCGGGUCGGGCGGCGGGGCGGUGAGAGCGUGCUCUUACGGGUGGCGAGUGGCGGACGGGUGAGGAAUACAUCGGAGUCUACUUUUUCGUGGGGGAUAACGUAGGGAAACUUACGCUAAUACCGCAUACGACCUACGGGUGAAAGCAGGGGAUCUUCGGACCUUGCGCGAUUGAAUGAGCCGCUGUCGGAUUAGCUGGUUGGCGGGGUAAAGGCCCACCAAGGCGACGAUCCGUAGCUGGUCUGAGAGGAGGAUCAGCGACACUGGAACUGAGACACGGUCCAGACGACUACGGGAGGCAGCAGUGGGGAAUAUUGGACAAUGGGCGCAAGCAUGAUCCAGCCAUACCGCGUGGGUGAAGAAGGCCUUCGGGUUGUAAAGCCCUUUUGUUGGGAAAGAAAAGCAGCAGGUUAAUACCCCGCUGUUCUGACGGUACCCAAAGAAUAAGCACCGGCUAACUUCGUG
rnacentral:rRNA from 1 species